ACAUGCUCAAAGAUACUCCAAUUAUGCUCACAACCAGAUGCACAACAAGUGAGGCUAAGCACUUUUAUAGCAAAAUUUCUCAAAUUUGGAGCUGAAGAUCCAUAAGCCUUCCACCAGUCAACUGGAGAUAUCGUCUUUCGAUUUCUAACUGCCAUAUCGAUUCCAAAUAUGCCUUCAACAUUUUGAUACAAAAUUAACUGUUUCACGAUUUUGUCUUGCUCUUCUUCACUUGGAAUCAACCUUUGCAUAACUUUAUAUAAACCAAGCAUAACCUUUUCAUCUUGAUAAAUAUCAGCAUUUGAAUAAAAGAAUUCAGGAUUCAAAUAAUAUCCA
rnacentral:misc_RNA from 1 species